UGCAGCGGCACCGCGCUGACCCGAGCGUGUCCGCUCGACUACUCGCCCGUGUGCGGCAGCGACGGGAUCACCUACGCCAACGAAUGCGCUCUGUGCAUCAGCCAACUGGAGAAGAAAGUGGACAUUGUGAUCGUGAAGGACGGGCCCUGCUGAUGACCUCACAGCAUCGCAUUUUUUCACACACACACAAACACACACACACACACACACACACACGUUUGUCUAAUUUUUCAUGGAGUUCCUUCAAAGCAGACUGCGAUUUUUCGGACAUCUUUUGGUCGUCACGUGUGCAAAACGACAAAGCAAAAGAUGAAUGUUGAUGUGACCAACUCCACUUCAACGCAAUAAAUAAAGACGUCGUGUUCACAAGCUGA